GUCCAAGGCCAUGCUACCCUGAACAAGUCUGAUCUCGUCUGAUCUCGGAAGCUAAGCAGGGUCAGGCCUGCUUAGUACUUGGAUGGGAGACCACCUAGGAAGACCAGGUGCUGUAGGCG
rnacentral:rRNA from 1 species